rnacentral:rRNA from 1 species
GACAGAGGCCCCAAGCGUUAGGCGGAAUCACUGGGCUUAAAGCGUGUGUAGGCGGAUCGUUAAGUGUCUUGUGAAAUCCCACGGCUCACCCGUGGAACUGCUGGGCAUACUGGCGAUCUUGAGCCACCUAGGGGCAACCGGAACAAAUGGUGGAGCGGUGAAAUGCGUAGAUAUCAUUUGGAACGCCAAUGGUGAAAACAGGUUGCUGGGGGUGUGCUGACGCUGAGACACGAAAGCCAGGGGAGCGAACGGG